AUGGCCUGGGCCCCUCUGCUCCUCACGCUGCUCACUUACUGCUCAGGUUCUCUGGCCCAGUACGUGCUGACUCAGCCGCCCUCAGUGUCUGUGUCUCCAGGGCAAAAUGCUCAACUCACCUGCUCAGGGAACAACAUUGGUAGCAAGUACGUGCACUGGUACCAACAGAAGCCUGGCAGCGCCCCACUACGUGUUAUAUAUGAUAGCAGCAGCAGAGCCUCCGGAAUCCCGGAUCGAUUCUCUGGGGCCAGCUCCGGUAACACGGCCACGUUAACUAUCACUGGAGUCCAGGCGCAGGACGAGGCUGAUUAUUACUGUCGGGUGUGGGACAAUGCCCUCACUGCUUGUGUCCCCAGGAAACACGGUGAAACCUUCCUGCAUUGGGAACAGUGGGACCAGCUUCAAAGAUUACAGUGA